UACGUAGGGACCAAGCGUUGUCCGGAAUUAUUGGGCGUAAAGAGCGUGUAGGCGGCUUGUCAAGUCCGAUGUGAAAUCUCGGGGCUCAACCCCGAAACUGCAUUGGAAACUGGCUCGCUAGAGUCCGGAAGAGGAGAUUGGAAUUCCUGGUGUAGCGGUGAAAUGCGCAGAUAUCAGGAAGAACACCCGUGGCGAAGGCGGAUCUCUGGGACGGUACUGACGCUGAGACGCGAAAGCGUGGGGAGCAAACAGG
rnacentral:rRNA from 1 species